rnacentral:rRNA from 1 species
UACGUAGGAAGCAAGCGUUAUCCGGAUUUAUUGGGCGUAAAGCGGGCGUAGGUGGCCUUUCAAGUCCGAUGUGAAAUCUCCCGGCUUAACUGGGAGGGUGCAUCGGAUACUGUUGGGCUAGAGUGCAGCAGAGGGAGAUGGAAUUCCCGGUGUAGUGGUGAAAUGCGUAGAUAUCGGGAGGAACACUAGUGGCGAAGGCGGUCUCCUGGGAUGCAACUGACACUGAGGCCCUAAGGCGUGGGGAGCAAACAGG